rnacentral:lncRNA from 10 species
AUAUGAUUGAGAAUUUCCUCAAACUGAUAAAAGACAACUUCAGAUUUUAAGGGCCACCCUGGUUCAAAGCGCCAAGCUGCUGACAGCAACAUAAGUUGCCACUGGGAGUCCUGUGUCCCCAGAGGAACCAGAGGAGUUGAGUAGCAUCUAAUUAUUCAGUAUAGAUAUGGACGCUAACUUGGACUUAGUACAUGUAUUACAUGGACUCCCUCCAAAUCACCAUGCCAAGCCUCUGGAGGACAGAAGAAUAUAAAUUGUUUAACUCCUCUUAAUCUCAGUUUCCAUCUAUGUAUACAGGAAAUAAAA